AUUGAACGCUGGCGGCAGGCCUAACACAUGCAAGUCGGACGGUAGCACAGAGAGCUUGCUCUUGGGUGACGAGUGGCGGACGGGUGAGUAAUGUCUGGGGAUCUGCCCGAUAGAGGGGGAUAACCACUGGAAACGGUGGCCAAUACCGCAUAACGUCGCAAGACCAAAGAGGGGGACCUUCGGGCCUCUCUCUAUCGGAUGAACCCAGAUGGGAUUAGCUAGUAGGCGGGGUAACGGCCCACCUAGGCGACGAUCCCUAGCUGGUCUGAGAGGAUGACCAACCACACUGGAACUGAGACACGGUCCAGACUCCUACGGGAGGCAGCAGUGGGGAAUAUUGCACAAUGGGCGCAAGCCUGAUGCAGCCAUGCCGCGUGUAUGAAGAAGGCCUUCGGGUUGUAAAGUACUUUCAGCGGGGAGGAAGGCGACGCGGUUAAUAACCGCGUCGAUUGACGUUACCCGCAGAAGAAGCACCGGCUAACUCCGUGCCAGCAGCCGCCGUAA
rnacentral:rRNA from 1 species